GACGAACGCUGGCGGCGUGCUUAACACAUGCAAGUCGAACGAAGUGGCGGACGGGUGAGUAACGCGUAAUAAACCUGCCCUUCAGGGGGGGACAACAGUUGGAAACGACUGCUAAUACCGCAUACUGAAGGAGGGGAUUGCGUCUGAUUAGCUAGUUGGAGGGGUAACGGCCCACCAAGGCGAUGAUCAGUAGCCGGGCUGAGGGGAUGAACGGCCACAUGGGGACUGGGACAAGGCCCAGACUCCUAAGGGAGGGAGCAGGGGGGAAUCUUCCGCAAUGGACGAAAGUCUGACGGAGCAACGCCGGGUGAGUGAUGACGGCCUUCGGGUUGGAAAGCUCUGUUAAGCGGGACGCGGUACCGGAAUAGAAAGCCACGGCUAACUACGUGCCAGCAGCCGCGGUAAUUC
rnacentral:rRNA from 1 species